rnacentral:misc_RNA from 1 species
CUGCUUACAAAGCCGUCGAUUUUGUCCAGUCUGGCAUGGUUAUUGGCCUCGGCACCGGCUCCACUGCCAAGCAUGCCGUCGACCGUAUUGCUGAUCUCUUACUCCAAGGCAAAUUGAACAAUAUUAUUGGCAUACCCACUUCCAAAAAGACCCAUCAACAAGCUUUGUCUCUUGGCAUUCCUCUGUCCGAUCUUGAUACUCACCCCAAUCGAUCUAGCAAUCGACGGCGCCGAUGAAGUGGACGCCGAUCUUAAUUUGGUCAAGGGUCG